ACGGAAGGCAGCAGUGAGGAAUAUUGGUCAAUGGGCGGAAGCCUGAACCAGCCAAGUCGCGUGAAGGAAGACGGUAUUAUGUAUUGUAAACUUCUUUAGACGCAGAGAAAUAAGGGGCUCGCGAGCUCUGAUGCUAGUAUGCGUAGAAUAAGGAUCGGCUAACUCCGUGCCAGCAGCCGCGGUAAUACGGAGGAUCCGAGCGUUAUCCGGAUUUAUUGGGUUUAAAGGGUGCGCAGGCGGCGCUUUAAGUCAGUGGUCAAAUCGUGAGGCUCAACCUCAUCCCGCCAUUGAUACUGGAGCGCUUGAUUGCGGUUGAGGUAGGCGGAAUUCGUCGUGUAGCGGUGAAAUGCGUAGAUAUGACGAAGAACCCCGAUUGCGUAGGCAGCUUACCAAGCCGUAAAUGACGCUCAUGCACGAAAGUGCGGGGAUCGAACAGGAUUAGAUACCCUGGUA
rnacentral:rRNA from 1 species